AGCAGCCGCGGUAAUUCCAGCUCCAAUAGCGUAUAUUAAAGUUGUUGCAGUUAAAAAGCUCGUAGUUGAAUUUCGGGGUCAGCAGGUCGGUCGUGCCAAUGGUAUGCACUGGCCUUGCUGAUUCCUCCCUCUUGAUGAGCCGUAAUGUCAUUAAUUUGGUGUUGCGGGGAAUCAGGACUGUUACUUUGAAAAAAUUAGAGUGUUUAAAGCAGGCAAGCGCUUGAAUACAUUAGCAUGGAAUAAUGAAAUAGGACGUUUGAUCCUAUUUUGUUGGUUUCUAGGAUUGACGUAAUGAUUAAUAGGGAUAGUUGGGGGCAUUAGUAUUCAAUUGUCAGAGGUGAAAUUCUUGGAUUUAUUGAAGACUAACUACUGCGAAAGCAUUUGCCAAGGAUGUUUUCAUUAACCAAGAACGAAAGUUAGGGGAUCGAAGACGAUCAGAUACCGUCGUAGUCUUAACCAUAAACUAUGCCGACUAGGGAUCGGAUGAUGUUAAUUUUUUAAUGACUCAUUC
rnacentral:rRNA from 1 species